GGCGGAUGUAGCCAAGUGGAUAAAGGCAGU
rnacentral:tRNA from 8 species